UUGUUCAAUCUGCAGAAAUUUCUCCCAUUGAAAUCAUUUCAUGUUCAUCCGCUAUGUAUAAAUCCGUCUCCCGGGAUCAACAUCAUAGAAGGGAAGACAAUGCCGAUAUUCUUCCAACACUUCUUGAAAUGCCUCUAGUAAUUUGUCCGACAGUGCAUUACAUGUCACACCUUUAACUAUGCAUAGAACAAAUCACAUUGUACACCUGAACUAGUUGGAAACAAAACCUAAGUAUCACAUUAUUCAACUAAAAUUUUAAAGUAGGC
rnacentral:lncRNA from 1 species